GCGAGAGAUGGGAUAACCUGUCCGACCGUCUAUCGCCGAUAGGACUCCACCGAAAAAUAUCACUAAAAAAACAAAAAAAAAUCCCCACAAAAAUUUACUUCAAGCCAUGGGCAGUUCGCGGAGCUCGGCCAGGGCUGGCGCUGUCGGUUUUGACCUUUAGGAGAGAGCCAGUUGUGGAGAACAACCUAACUUCUUUGAUUGAGCACUCACAUAAUGCACUGGAACAUGUUAGGAGAUUAAGGUUUAUAACGAUAAAAUGAAGGCCAUAAUAAAACAGCCUCGUACUUAGUUCAUCAUUUCUUACCUUGUGGAUAUUACUAUCCCUUAUUUAUGGAAAAGUUUUAUUCUAAGUGUUGUUUCUCAUUGAGUAUUAAUAAAAGGGAGAGAAUGUCCUAAACUUUUGAGAUAGAUUUGAUUCUAGCUAUAUCUAUGCUAUGAAGAAAAUGUUGGCAAAUAAAUAAGUUUAAACCUCUUCUGUUAAAUUUCUGUGCAAGGUGACAAAUUAAUAGAUUUUGA